AUUGAACGCUGGCGGCAGGCUUAACACAUGCAAGUCGAGCGGGGAGAUGUAGCUUGCUACAUUUCCUAGCGGCGGACGGGUGAGUAAUGCUUAGGAAUCUGCCUAUUAGUGGGGGACAACAUUUCGAAAGGAAUGCUAAUACCGCAUACGUCCUACGGGAGAAAGCAGGGGACCUUCGGGCCUUGCGCUAAUAGAUGAGCCUAAGUCGGAUUAGCUAGUUGGUGGGGUAAAGGCCUACCAAGGCGACGAUCUGUAGCGGGUCUGAGAGGAUGAUCCGCCACACUGGGACUGAGACACGGCCCAGACUCCUACGGGAGGCAGCAGUGGGGAAUAUUGGACAAUGGGGGGAACCCUGAUCCAGCCAUGCCGCGUGUGUGAAGAAGGCCUUUUGGUUGUAAAGCACUUUAAGCGAGGAGGAGGCUACCGAGAUUAAUACUCUUGGAUAGUGGACGUUACUCGCAGAAUAAGCACCGGCUAACUCUGUGCCAGCAGCCGAC
rnacentral:rRNA from 1 species